UUAGUUUUCAUAAAAGUUAUGUGAAUUGGGAAAACUGAGGAUGCAACUCCAGUCCAGAGGUGGCGCUACUUGCUGCACAUCACGGUUGUUCACAGCCAAACGUUUGAGCGCUGCAUUUCUACUUCCUGUUGCCCUUCAACUGUGUGGGGAGUGGAGCGAGAUCAAUGUUAUGGUAAGAAAUCUAAAGCCAUCCUACAUCCAAUUUCUUCAAAUUGUGUCGAAAUUGUGUAGUUUAUAUUAGAUGGAUACUAUUUGGUUUGAUUUCUGUUCACAUUUCCGUAGUUUGUUAUUGCUGUAGCCUAAACGGUUAAAUCCUGCAUGGCAGGUGUUCCAGUGCAUGUGUGCUUCAGGCUAGUGGUUCUUUGGCAACUUGGCUUGUUUGUUACUUCUCUACAGGUCGACAGUAAACUAAACCAACCUUGAAAUUGGUUAUUAUGCUGUUUGAAACGACACAAAGCCACAAGUGAUUGUCGUAAGCAGUUGUAUCUUUCCCCUUUUACAGUGCCCAGUUUAUGGUAGGUUUAGCAAAGUGCUGCUGAUGUUCACAGUUUGCAGUUCAAAUUCCUUAUUGCGCUGUAAUAAUGUCGUUUAAAUUCAGUUCAGUUCAAUAAUACUAAACUACACACGGUAAUCAUGCUGUUUAAAAUUGCAUUGCGCUGUUCUUUGAUUAUUGUGUGCCAUGUUAUCUGUUUUGUGGGUCAGUUGCAGUAAAAGGAUGCAUCAUAAAUGCAAAGCAUUCGUUUCACUGGAUAGUAAUGGCAUCUGCUCUUGUAUUGCCCUUUCUCCCCAGAUACAAAACUAUUGUGGUAUUUUUGUCAUUCUCCUCAACUGGACAUCCAUGUGGCGACAUGAUGAGGGGCCUUCAUUUACUGCCGACAUAGAUGAGGUUCUGAUCAAGAAGGUGAUGCAACGCCCAUGCUCAACCUGGAGGAAGGAGGUUCUCCGGGAGCCAGCAAUUCCAGACUUCCAGAACAGAUGGCACUUUUUGAUGCCAGCGAGAUCAAUUUGGAAUUCAUGUAAAUUGCCACUGUACCUCUGACCUCAAUUCUUUGGUGAACUGGACUAUCGGGCAAGUGGCCUUAUCCGGAUCUUCUGUAUCGAAGGUGGAGCUGUAGGACGGAAGAUCUCUGCCAUAAUGACCCACAUGGAACAUGAUGCCGGCGAACUGUCUGUGUAUGAACUUCAGCGACUUGAACAUCAGAGAGAAGGUUUUUUUGUCAUCUUUGAAGAUUUCACAAGCAUGUGGACAUGCAGCAGAGGAUCUCCGGACUCGGGAUGCAAGUGAGGCCAAAGCAAGAUAAUGAAGACCUUGAAUGCAGACAGGCCGAGGCAGACACUGCUGAGAAGACCAUGGGCAUCUACACAGUCCGGACAGAGGGUGAUGGUCUAGGUGAUGCAUGUUUUGAAGAUGUCUGUGUGGCACUGGACGGUGUGAGUUCUCCAGAGCCUGCGGAGUGUCGGCCAUGCAUGUGUUGGGCUUUAUGAACGAAUCUAUGCACCAACUUGAGCUAUCCAAAAAGACUGCGAAAUAUACAUACAUUUGAGGGUUACCAGAAAGUUCUGAUGGACCUGUACUCAAGCAAGCUUGAAAUAGCUCCUGUGAUUCAGUGGCAUACACGCCUGUUAGACUCUCACUUCGCUUCCGCUCACACUGCCGCAGUGGCAUUGGUUGUGACCCGUAGAUGGUCGACCAGGGGGAAAAAAACUAUAAAACUCAUGAUAUUUUUGUCUUCGACCAAGUGGUCAGUGUGGAGGAGUUUGAGGGUUUUUUUUUUUUGGUUUUUUUUAAAUCCAUGUCUGCUGUCGGCCACAUACACACAACUGUUGCCCACACACCAGCGGCCUAUACUACAAAACUGGUUCAGGAUACGUUAAGGUUAAGUUGAGAGUGAAAUCAACUAAUAGAAGAGCCCAGAGUACUUAUUUUCUUUAGAAAGGCUCUUAGAUGAUUAGAUAAAGGUAUUAGAUGAUUUACCUAACUUAGUAAUAGGCCCCUGGUGAACUAUUCUGUACACAAACCAGCUGAACUAGUGUGCCCGCUCACUUGGUUGACUACGUGUAUUGGCUGCCUAAGUACACCUGCUGAACUUUUGUUGCACCCACAAACUUGGACUGUUGGCUGUGUGCACACACCUAUUAGGACUGUUGUACUUAAUGCCAGCUGAAGUAUUGUGUGUGCACACCUGAUCUUUUUCUUGUGUACUACACACCUGUGGGACUGUUUCGCCCACGCACGCUUGCAUGGCCAUUUGUGUUAACCUUUUGCGCCCGCAAGUCACACCAACACACUUACCCAACUUUUCUGUCUUUCAACUUGUGUUCAGAUGAGUUGUUUGUGUAAAAAAUGUUUGUACAGUAUAUAGAAAUGUACUGUGUUCUUUGUCAAGACACCUGUGUGAUGGAUGGUGAACAUGGUGUAAUUUCUGCCUUAUUUUCCCUUUCCUUGGUUUUUCUUAUUAUACAGGGUGUUUGUUAAAAUGUUUUUUGCAUUAGCUAGCUGGUCAGGAGGGGAAAAACCUCAGCAUACUGACCAUUUUGCUUUGAAAUUACUUUGACCUUUUGGUCUUACUCCAAGUGUGCAGGGGCCUAUACUACAAAGCUGGUUCAGGGUAAGUUAAGGUGUAAAUCAUCUAAUAUUACAUCUAAUAAUAAGAAAAUGAGGACUCCAGGCCCUUCUAUUAGGUAAUUUACCUCUUAACUAAACCUUAAAUUAUCCUGAACCAGCUUUGUAGUAUAGAUCCAAUUGAUUUUGCAGGUUUGGAUUCUUUGAAGUAAGCUGCGUUGUGACUCAUGCAUGUGAAGUACCGUAUUGUUUUUACUUUUGGUAUUGUGAAUAACCAACUACUAAAUAAUAAUCACUUCGUGAUUUAACGUAUGACUCUGUUUUUGGGAUCCCUUGCUGUGUCCAAGUGGCUAGGUGUUGCACUGAUGAUUUGUGUUGCAAAUAAAUAAGCUUUAUUUGAAAAAAAAGUUGUGUAUCAUU